CCAAAAACCGGCCGCGUCUUCGGGCGCGUUCGCCUUGGUGACUCUGGAUAACUUUGCGGAUCGCACGGUCUAGCACCGGCGACGGAUCAUUCAAGUGUCUGCCCUAUCAACUUUCGUCGGUACGGUAUUUGCCUACCGAGGUUCUUACGGGUGACGGGGAAUCAGGGUUCGAUUCCGGAGAGGGAGCCUGAGAAACGGCUACCACAUCCAAGGAAGGCAGCAGGCGCGCAAAUUACCCAUUCCCGACGCUUGGAGGUAGUGACGAAAAAUAACAAUGCAGGACUCGUUCGAGGCCCUGUAAUUGGAAUGAGUACACUUUAAAAGCUUUAACGAGUAUCCAUUGGAGGGCAAGUCUGGUGCCAGCAGCCGCGGUAAUUCCAGCUCCAAAAGUAUAUAUUUAAGUUGUUGCGGUUAAAAAGCUCGUAGUUGGAUUUUGGGCGCAGGCGGCCGGUCCGUCGCAAGGCGUGUACUGGACGUCCUGGCCUUCCCUCCGGUUCUCCGCCGGUGCUCUUGACUGAGUGUCGGCGGCGGCCGGAACGUUUACUUUGAAAAAAUUAGAGUGUUCAAAGCAGGCUCUCGAGCCUGGAUAAUGGUGCAUGGAAUAAUGGAAUAGGACCUCGGUUCUAUUUUGUUGGUUUUCGGAGCGCGAGGUAAUGAUUAAGAGGGACAGACGGGGGCAUUCGUACUGUGCCGUUAGAGGUGAAAUUCUUGGAUCGGCGCAAGACGAACGACUGCGAAAGCAUUUGCCAAGAAGUUUUCUUUAAUCAAGAGCGAAAGUCAGAGGUUCGAAGACGAUCAGAUACCGUCCUAGUUCUGAC
rnacentral:ncRNA from 1 species